AGUUUGAUCCUGGCUCAGGAUGAACGCUAGCUACAGGCUUAACACAUGCAAGUCGAGGGGCAGCAUGGUCUUAGCUUGCUAAGGCUGAUGGCGACCGGCGCACGGGUGAGUAACACGUAUCCAACCUGCCGUCUACUCUUGGCCAGCCUUCUGAAAGGAAGAUUAAUCCAGGAUGGGAUCAUGAGUUCACAUGUCCGCAUGAUUAAAGGUAUUUUCCGGUAGACGAUGGGGAUGCGUUCCAUUAGAUAGUAGGCGGGGUAACGGCCCACCUAGUCAACGAUGGAUAGGGGUUCUGAGAGGAAGGUCCCCCACAUUGGAACUGAGACACGGUCCAAACUCCUACGGGAGGCAGCAGUGAGGAAUAUUGGUCAAUGGGCGAUGGCCUGAACCAGCCAAGUAGCGUGAAGGAUGACUGCCCUAUGGGUUGUAAACUUCUUUUAUAAAGGAAUAAAGUCGGGUAUGCAUACCCGUUUGCAUGUACUUUAUGAAUAAGGAUCGGCUAACUCCGUGCCAGCAGCCGCGGUAAUACGGAGGAUCCGAGCGUUAUCCGGAUUUAUUGGGUUUAAAGGGAGCGUAGAUGGAUGUUUAAGUCAGUUGUGAAAGUUUGCGGCUCAACCGUAAAAUUGCAGUUGAUACUGGAUGUCUUGAGUGCAGUUGAGGCAGGCGGAAUUCGUGGUGUAGCGGUGAAAUGCUUAGAUAUCACGAAGAACUCCGAUUGCGAAGGCAGCCUGCUAAGCUGCAACUGACAUUGAGGCUCGAAAGUGUAGGUAUCAAACAGGAUUAGAUACCCUGGUAGUCCACACGGUAAACGAUGAAUACUCGCUGUUUGCGAUAUACGGCAAGCGGCCAAGCGAAAGCGUUAAGUAUUCCACCUGGGGAGUACGCCGGCAACGGUGAAACUCAAAGGAAUUGACGGGGGCCCGCACAAGCGGAGGAACAUGUGGUUUAAUUCGAUGAUACGCGAGGAACCUUACCCGGGCUUAAAUUGCACUCGAAUGAUCCGGAAACGGUUCAGCUAGCAAUAGCGAGUGUGAAGGUGCUGCAUGGUUGUCGUCAGCUCGUGCCGUGAGGUGUCGGCUUAAGUGCCAUAACGAGCGCAACCCUUGUUGUCAGUUACUAACAGGUGAUGCUGAGGACUCUGACAAGACUGCCAUCGUAAGAUGUGAGGAAGGUGGAAGGGCGAAUUCC
rnacentral:rRNA from 1 species